ACUAAAUAUCGAUCGUAGGGUAUUUCGACUUAUCCUAAUUCUUAUAAGUACGUCAAAAGAACUAUGCGACUAACGGAUGAUUCUACAAAUCCCAUCGAAUGUUCGGUUCGUCGAUUGAUGUUCGAUAGCUAAAUAAUUACUUUACAUUGCAGACAAGCAAACCAAAGAGUCUGGACUUAGAAAAAAUUCUUUUCAUUCAUUGCAAAGAGG
rnacentral:lncRNA from 1 species